AAAGCGUCCGUAGCCGGUUUAAUAAGUCUCGUGGUGAAAUCCUGUAGCUUAACUGUGGGAAUUGCUGGAGAUACUAUUAGACUUGGGACCGGGAGAGGUUAGAGGUACUCCCAGGGUAGAGGUGAAAUUCUGUAAUCCUGGGAGGACCGCCUGUUGCGAAGGCGUCUAACUGGAACGGUUCUGACGGUGAGGGACGAAAGUUAGGGGCGCGAACCGGAUUAGAUACCCGGGUAGUCCUAACUGUAAACGAUGCGGACUUGGUGUUGGGUGGCUUUGAGCUGUCUCAGUGCCGAAGGGAAGCUGUUAAGUCCGCCGCCUGGGAAGUACGGUCGCAAGACUGAAACUUAAGGAAUUGGCGGGGGAGCACCACAACGCGUGGAGCCUGCGGUUUAAUUGGAUUCAACGCCGGACAUCUCACCAGAGGCGACAGCUGUAUGAUAGCCAGGUUGAUGACUUUGCUUGACUAGCUGAGAGGAGGUGCAUGG
rnacentral:rRNA from 1 species